AUGGGGUGCUGUGUGGGCAUGGGUAGUGGUGCCCUUGAUGGGAAUGUGAUCCUGCAGGGCUACCCCUUUACUCUGAGGCUAGGCAUCCAGGCAGGUGCAGGAUUCGCCAGGGUGUGGCCUCCAGGUGCACACUUCAGCAGCAGCACUGGGGUCCCCAGAUCUCCCCACGCUCUUGGUCACAGCUUAGACCGGGGUGGCAGGGUGGGAGGCAACUUAGAGGCAGGGACAGACAGCAGACCACCAGUGGCCCCCAGCCUGUUGGUUGGGACAUACGGACAAGGCUGGUGGCUUUCUGGGGUCCAAGUGAAGUGUGGCAGAAGCAGGGUCUCCAUUCAAGUCUCCUGCCCCCCAGCCCACUGUCCCCAGAAGAUCAGGCCGCUUUUCUUGCCAGAAGCAGGACUAAGGUGGCUGCAGGGUCAGAGCACCCCAAGGGACUCACUCCUUGAGUUCAGCGAGCGAAGGACCACCCAGCAGGGAAGCAUGACCUGAGCAAUAGCAUCCCCUUGAUGCUCAGCUCUUGGUUUCGGCUGUGUUUACAAGGCUACCUGAUUUUUUUUUUUCCAACAGCUGUCACUUUCUCUUCUUUUUAAUUUUCUUAACCCUUUUACAAAGUCAUUCAAAGACUCAGUGCUGAAGGGUUUGAAGAUUGAUGGGUUGGUCACACUGCAGCCUGUAAGAAAUGCUCUGCAGGUCACCCACAUCUUUGCUGUCCAAAGAUCCCACAUUCAAUUCUGGUGACCGUAUAUCUUCCAAAGCUAAAAUCAAGGGUAUGGGCCGAGACUGUUCUUGAAUUCAGGAUUGCCCUGGGGAAAGCCAGGUCCUGUAACUGAUUAUCCUGACUCCAAGACUUGAGCUUCAAAGGUUUGUCCCAGACACAUUCCAGAGAAUUGUAUCAGAACUCAGAUGCACCGUCCAGCUUACUACUGAUAAAUGCCUGAACACCGUUCAGGGAGAAGACCUUCCUCCUGCCCGCUACUCUGUCUCAUCAGUUAGAAGAGUUGGAUGUGGUGGGAGGCAGGAGCCCAGGGCUGUGCUUGGUUUCUACUGAACCCUUCUUGCCAUAUGGGGCUUGCAGUGUGCCCCCGGCCCCACCCAGCCUCUCCCCUUCUCGUGCAGCUUUAAAACCUUACUACUUUAAUGAGGGACAGAUGAGAGCAAAUUGCUUCCCCUGCCCUGAACACCUUACACUCCCUGUGGGGGACACAGGAGACAUGGGGGGUGGGGGAGGGGUGCAAGAACAGCCUUCUCCCAGGGCUCCAGGAUGUCUUCCUGGUGUUAUGAUGACAGGCUGCUGCACAUAUUUGUUUGGAAACCAAGCCGAAUGCCUGCCAGGCAACCAGAGGUCUGGGUGAAGGCUGUCUCCCCUACUCAGCCCAGGACCGCCUGUCCCAGGCCACCUUGCCAUCCCUGGAGCAGGGGGCCACCUCCCAGGGUCCAUUCCUGGGUCAGGGUGCCUGUCUCUGGGCCUGUGGGCAGGAGGCUCACCUUGGAGAGUCCCUGUGCCAAGCACCGAGGACCGUGAGGGCUGGAGGGUAGCUUAGCAGCUGUGCAUUGUUGGGGGCAGGGCCGUUAUGGCUCCCACAGGCCAGUAAUCCGCCCGGGAAUCUCUGUGUGCUGGGUGCACUAGGGGUCUCAGCCACCCUAGACUUCACAGACGGCCCCUCCUCUUCCCAAAGCCAUUGAUGGAGCUUCUCUGGGAUUGUUUGCCAAACCCCAUGGUAGACUCCAAGGGUCCAAGACCAUUUCCAUCGAGCACACUUUGUUUGGUUUUGUUUUUUUAACCAGCACCACACCAUGCUUCCGAAGGCCAUGUCUCGUCUUUCCCGGAUCACUACAGUGAAGUAUUACAGUUGUACAGUUCCCAAUCUGGCCUUGGCUUGCUCGGAUAAAACUUUGUAUGUAUUUUGUAAGGCAUAGAUUCUAUAUUGUAAUGAUGUCCUAUGCAAAAAGAAAAAAAAAUUAACGAAACUGUAAAUUUUAUUGUUUUAACGUGUAUGCAUGUUUAGUGACGUUUACAUUUUGAAAUAAAAUUUAUGAUUCAUUAUUUGCCAGAACUGCUUCUCUGAUGGGUGAGGCCCUGGAAGGGGAGGGAACUGAAAUGGCCCAGUUUAAGAAGUUGGAUAUAACUGGCCCAAGGGGUAGACACCAGCUCAGAACUGGCAGGCCUUACAUGGAGGAGAGGGAGAAGGCUUUGCAGGGGACGAGUACUUUGGCUACCUGAUGCGAAGAGCCGACUCAUUAGAAAAGACUCUAACGCUGGGAUGAAAGAUUGAAGCCAAGAGGAGAAGAGGGCAACAGAGGAUGAGAUGGUUGGAUGGCAUCACCANNNNNNNNUAGGCAUGUUCCUAAGCUCCCUGUCCCGCCCCCCUGAAGAAUUUUUAUAGUCCUUAAAGCUCCAGGACGUCUAGUCCCUGCAACAUUUCAUAGAAGAUAGAUUAUCUUAUUGUGUUUUGUACACAAUGGUAAGGGUCUGGUGAUUGUAUCUUGAGAUUAAAAACAAUUUGUAAAUGUCAUAAGUCACGUACUUUAUCCUAUAUAUNNNNNNNNNNNNNNNNNNNNNNNNNNNNNNNNNNNNNNNNNNNNNNNNNNNNNNNNNNNNNNNNNNNNNNNNNNNNNNNNNNNNNNNNNNNNNNNNNUUCUCUCCCUGUGCAGGUGCGACUCUUGCUUGUGCUGGCCGCGGCAAGUACUAAGAAAAAGGCAAUGAAAACCACUUUUACACUCCUUAAAUUGGCGUAUACUUAGAAUAAAAAUCAGAAAAUACUAAAAAUUAGUGAGGAUAUAGAGAAAUAGCAAUAAUUAUGCAUUACUAAUGGGAUAUUAAAUGUGCAUCCACUGGUUUCAAGAUCAACUGAAAAUAUUUAGCAAAGUUACAGAUAUGCAUAUCUUACAAACCAAAAAUUUCACUCCUCAAUAUUAUCCUUUGAGGCACACUGCACAAGUGACAGAUAUGUUUAAAUAAGAAUAUUAAACACCAUUUAUUUUGGCAUUAUUAUCUUCAAAUGUUUGUUUUUGCAGUUGAAUUUCAGAAUCAUUUUGGCCAGAUUUCAAAUAAAAUAAAUCAUUGAAAUGUGUUUGGAUUUGCCAUUAAUUUAUAAAUUCAUUUAAUAAGUUAUAGCCUUUAAAUACUUGUGCUGGAUUCCCUUGUGGUACAGUGGAUAAGAGUCUGCCCAUCAAUACACGGGAAAAGGGUUCAAUCCCUAGUCCAAGAGGAUUCGACAUGGCUUGGAACAGCUGAGCCCGUGU
ensembl:lncRNA